AUGACCCCGUAAAAUUCAAGCCACCACAAUCAUGUUUAUAUGGACGAAAAGAUAGUCAUGAUCUAGAUCAAGAAUGCUCAAAUGUUCCUAAGAAUGCUAAAUUUAUUAUGGAUGAAAACAUGGUUCAUUUUUUAGGGGAACAUGAAGGUUGAUGAAGGUUGGUUUAUUCGAGCGCUAAAAUUAAAAUAAGGUCUACAAUUUAAGAGUAAAUUUUCUGUGAGUAAAUUUCCGGUUGAUGAAGAUUUGGCUAAUCUGAUUUUCUUAAAGAUAUGGUGCAAGAAAUCUUUUUAUUUUUCUAUAAUAAAAUAUGAGUGCAAAAAUAUGAGUUUUACAUGGUUUUUAUAUUUAAUUGUCCACUUUAUUUUUUUGGU